rnacentral:rRNA from 1 species
CAAUAGCGUAUAUUAAAGUUGUUGCGGUUAAAAGCUCGUAGUUGGAGUUCUGCCAGGUGCCGCCUGUCCGCCCCAGUGGUGAGUACGUGGCGCGCAUUUGGCCCUUUCAAGGGGAGCGUAUCUGCACUUUAUUGUGUGGUGCGGGAUCCUUGACUUUUACUUUGAGGAAAUAGGAGUGUUCCAAGCAGGCUCUCGUCGUGCACAGCUCAGCAUGGAAUAAUAGCAUUGGACCUCGAUUCUAAGCUGUUGGUUGCCAGAAGCGAGGUAAUGAUGAAGAGGGAUAGUUGGGGGCAUUCGUAUUUAACUGUCGGAGGUGAAAUUCUUGGAUUUGUUAAAGACGGACUACUGCGAAAGCAUCUGCCAUGGAUGUUUUCAUUGA